CCUACGGGCGGCAGCAGUGAGGAAUAUUGGUCAAUGGACGGGAGUCUGAACCAGCCAAGCCGCGUGAAGGAUGACUGUCCUAUGGGUUGUAAACUUCUUUUAUAUGGGAAUAAAAUGUUCCACGUGUGGGAUUUUGUAUGUACCUUAUGAAUAAGGAUCGGCUAACUCCGUGCCAGCAGCCGCGGUAAUACGGAGGAUCCGAGCGUUAUCCGGUUUUAUUUGGUUUAACGGGAGCGUAGGUGGAUUGUUAAGUUAGUUGUGAAAGGUUGCGGCUCAACCGUAGAAUUGCAGUUGAAACUGGCAGUCUGGAGUACAGGAGAGGUGGGCGGAAUUCGUGGUGUAGCGGUGAAAUGCGUAGAUAUAACGAAGAACUCCGAUGGCGAAGGCAGCUGACUGGACUGGAACUGACGCUGAGGCUCGAAAGUGUGGGUAUCAAACAGGAUUAGAUACCCGUGUAGUC
rnacentral:rRNA from 1 species